rnacentral:rRNA from 1 species
GGUAAGUUCCGACCUGCACGAAUGGUGAAAUGAUUUGAGAGCUGUCUUGGCUGGAGGCCUGGUGAAGUUGUAAUGUCGGUGAAGAUACCGACUACCUGCAGUAGGACGGAAAGACCCCGUGGAGCUUUACUGUAGCUUGGCAUUGGGUUUUGGCAAUGUGUGUAUAGGAUAGUUGGGAGACUAUGAAGUAAUGGCGUCAGUUGUUACAGAGUCGCUGUUGGAAUACCAACCAUAUGUUGUUGAAAUUCUAAUCUGGUAUCGGAGACAGUGCUAGG